GGGCCUGUAGCGCAGUUGGGAGCGCGUCUCAAUCGCACUGAGAAGGUCAGGGGUUCGAAUCCCCUCAGGUCCACCU
rnacentral:tRNA from 2 species